CCUACGGGAGGCUGCAGUGGGGGAUAUUGCACAAUGGGGGGAACCCUGAUGCAGCGACGCCGCGUGGGUGAAGAAGCGCCUCGGCGUGUAAAGCUCUGUCAGCAGGGAAGAAGAUGACGGUAUCUGAAGAAGAAGCCCCGGCUAACUACGUGCAAGCAGCCGCGGUAAUACGUAGGGGGCAAGCGUUAUCCGGAUUUACUGGGGGGAAAGGGGGCGCAGACGGGGAUGGAAGCCAGGAGUGAAAACCCGGGGCUCAACCCCGGGACUGCUCUUGGAACUGUGUGGCUGGAGUGCAGGAGGGGCAGGCGGAAUUCCUAGUGUAGCGGUGAAAGGCGUAGAUAUCAGGAGGAACACCAGUGGCGAAGGCGGCCUGCUGGACUGCAACUGACGUUGAGGCCCGAAAGCGUGGGGAGCAAACAGGAUUAGAUACCCUUGUAGUC
rnacentral:rRNA from 1 species